CUAUCUGCCACACAUUACACUAAGUGCAUCUCAUGGAUCGUGUCGUUUGGUGCACCUCUGCUAUUGAUGCUGUUUCAAAACCUCCUUUACAGAGGAGGAGUCUGAUCAUGGAGAGGUGAAGUGACUUGUCCAAGGUCCCACACCCAGCAAAGGAUGGAGAUGGGAUUGAACCAGGCAGUCAGGGUCCAGCAGGACUUCGUGCCCGGAUAAGAGAAAGUAAUUCAUUUCCCAGUCACAUAAAAACACAGAAAGUAGGUCUGGGCGACUGAACUUCCACAAAGGUCAAGGAUGGGCAGUAUAUCCGGCUUAUUCUGGGUGGCACCUUGUUACUUCUCUGAGACAGCAUCUACACAAGUCAAGGUAGAAAGGAGUGUUCUCACUGUAGGGAGGUGUAGCCGUUAAGAGAAGAGCUUUGUGUCAGGCAGACCUUGGUAUGGUUCCAGCCCUCCCAGUUGUCACCUGUGGGACCUAGGGAAGUGACUAAGAUACCCUGGACUCAGCUUCCUCAUCUGUAGAAUGGGAAUAUGAUUAUUUGUAAGGAUUACAUUUGAUAAGCUUGUAAAGAUCCUCCACUCCCCAGCUCAUGUCCCGUCAUGUUAUUUGCUCCAGUUCUCCUGUCUCGCAGCAAGACAGCUAGCAGACCCAGUGCCACCAGCCAGUCUCACUCCAUAUUUUGAAAUGGACACUGGAUGAGCAUGGAAUACUCCAGUUCAGCUGCUCAUCAUCAAAUAUCAUCGAAUCCUCAUUGUAGUGCCAGGACUCAAAAGAAGGAUAAGUUUCAAAACCUGAAAUCCUGCAAGAUCGAGCUCAGCUCCUGUGGUUUGAACUUCAGAGCAUCUAUAAAGUCAACAGUCCUUACAGAAGACUGUCUUCCUCUUUCCUGAGAAGCCUCUGAUGCCCUGCUUUCAUUCAUUGAGGGGCCCGGGCAUCAGUGUGCAGCCAGUGUUGAGAACCACUGCUUUGGGAGGUUGUCACAGAAGCCCAGAUCAUUUGCCUUGGGAGAAGAGAGCUGCCAUGUCAUGUGAGCAGCCCUAGAGAGAGGCCCAUCUGGCAAGGACCUGAAGCUUCCUACCAACAGCCAUGUGAGUGAUCUUGGAAGCAGAUUCGCCAUCCGCAUCAGAUGGCUGCAUCCCCAGCUGACAACCUGCCUACAGCCAGGAAGAAAAACAAGAUUCUUUUUUUGCAGUUGGAAGUUAUUUUCAUGAAAGAAGACUUUAGCUUCUGAUGUUAUUAUUAAAUCAAGAUUUUGAUUUGUCUUCAUGAAAGCAACCACAUAUGACUUCAAUGGUCACAGGCUAAAGCAAAAAUAAGUGAGGUAUUGACAUACGUGCACCACGACAUAUGCGUGACCUGUUUGUGGCAACACUUUUAAUAACCAGAGACUGGAAAUAAUUGAAGGGCCUCUCACCAGUAGGGAAGCUGACCUAAUUGUGGCUCAUUUAUACAAUUGAAUAUGGUGCAGCUUUGGAAGAACUGAGGUGUCUGUGGCUUAUAUGGAAUGAUCUCUACAGUAUAUUCUAAGCAAAAAUAGCGAGGUGUUGAUUAGUGUUUUUACUGUGUUUCCAUUCAUUUAAAAAAGUAUGCAGGUGCUCACUUACUUUUAUAUAUAAGGUGGAAUAUUUUUAGGAGGUAGAUAAUGGCUUCUACAGAGAGCCUGGGAGACAAGCGUUGAGGGAAAGAUAGACUUUUCAUUGUAAAUCCUUCUGUAUUGUUUAUUUUACCAUGUUUGUAUAUGUUAAUUUUUUUCAAUAAUAAAAAUUGAGUUUUGUGGUUGUGUGCACUUAAUUCUGAGCUUCAUUUCUCCUGGAGUCUGCUUCAUUCCU